rnacentral:rRNA from 1 species
AGUGAACGCUGGCGGUAGGCCUAACACAUGCAAGUCGAACGGCAGCACAGGAGAGCUUGCUCUCUGGGUGGCGAGUGGCGGACGGGUGAGGAAUACAUCGGAAUCUACUUUGUCGUGGGGGAUAACGUAGGGAAACUUACGCUAAUACCGCAUACGACCUACGGGUGAAAGCAGGGGAUCUUCGGACCUUGCGCGAUUGAAUGAGCCGAUGUCGGAUUAGCUAGUUGGCGGGGUAAAGGCCCACCAAGGCGACGAUCCGUAGCUGGUCUGAGAGGAUGAUCAGCCACACUGGAACUGAGACACGGUCCAGACUCCUACGGGAGGCAGCAGCGGGGAAUAUUGGACAAUGGGCGCAAGCCUGAUCCAGCCAUACCGCGUGGGUGAAGAAGGCCUUCGGGUUGUAAAGCCCUUUUGUUGGGAAAGAAAUCCAGCCGGCUAAUACCUGGUUGGGAUGACGGUACCCAAAGAAUAAGCACCGGCUAACUUCGUGCCAGCAGCCGCGGUAAUACGAAGGGUGCAAGCGUUACUCGGAAUUACUGGGCGUAAAGCGUGCGUAGGUGGUUAUUUAAGUCCGUUGUGAAAGCCCUGGGCUCAACCUGGGAACUGCAGUGGAUACUGGAUGACUAGAAUGUGGUAGAGGGUAGCGGAAUUCCUGGUGUAGCAGUGAAAUGCGUAGAGAUCAGGAGGAACAUCCAUGGCGAAGGCAGCUACCUGGACCAACAUUGACACUGAGGCACGAAAGCGUGGGGAGCAAACAGG